rnacentral:tRNA from 1 species
ACUUAAAUAGCUUAUACACAUAGAGUAUAACAUUGAAGAUGUUAUGGAGAUAAUUAAUCUUUAGGUA